AGAGUGAACGCUGGCGGUAGGCCUAACACAUGCAAGUCGAACGGCAGCACAGUGGUAGCAAUACCAUGGGUGGCGAGUGGCGGACGGGUGAGGAAUACAUCGGAAUCUACCUUUUCGUGGGGGAUAACGUAGGGAAACUUACGCUAAUACCGCAUACGCCCUUCGGGGGAAAGCCGGGGAUCGCAAGACCUGGCGCGGAUAGAUGAGCCGAUGUCGGAUUAGCUAGUUGGUGAGGUAAUGGCUCACCAAGGCGACGAUCCGUAGCUGGUCUGGAGAGGAUGAUCAGCCACACUGGAACUGAGACACGGUCCAGACUCCGUACGGGAGCAGCAGGUGGGGAA
rnacentral:rRNA from 1 species